UACAUGGGGUGCAAACGUUGCUCGGAAUUAUUGGGCGUAAAGAGCUCGUAGGCGGUUUGUCGCGUCUGCCGUGAAAGUCCGGGGCUCAACUCCGGAUCUGCGGUGGGUACGGGCAGACUAGAGUGAUGUAGGGGAGACUGGAAUUCCUGGUGUAGCGGUGAAAUGCGCAGAUAUCAGGAGGAACACCGAUGGCGAAGGCAGGUCUCUGGGCAUUAACUGACGCUGAGGAGCGAAAGCAUGGGGAGCGAACAGG
rnacentral:rRNA from 1 species